rnacentral:rRNA from 1 species
UAUAUACCUGGUAUCACGCCGUAACGAUGUCGACUUGGAGGUUGUGCCCUUGAGUGAGUGGCUUCCGGAGCUAACGCGUUAAGUCGACCGCCUGGGGAGUACGGCCGCAAGGUUAAAACUCAAAUGAAUUGACGGGGGCCCGCACAAGCGGUGGAGCAUGUGGUUUAAUUCGAUGCAACGCGAAGAACCUUACCUACUCUUGACAUCCAGAGAACUUUCCAGAGAUGGAUUGGUGCCUUCGGGAACUCUGAGACAGGUGCUGCAUGGCUGUCGUCAGCUCGUGUUGUGAAAUGUUGGGUUAAGUCCCGCAACGAGCGCAACCCUUAUCCUUUGUUGCCAGCGGUCCGGCCGGGAACUCAAAGGAGACUGCCAGUGAUAAACUGGAGGAAGGUGGGGAUGACGUCAAGUCAUCAUGGCCCUUACGAGUAGGGCUACACACGUGCUACAAUGGCGCAUACAAAGAGAAGCGACCUCGCGAGAGCAAGCGGACCUCAUAAAGUGCGUCGUAGUCCGGAUUGGAGUCUGCAACUCGACUCCAUGAAGUCGGAAUCGCUAGUAAUCGUAGAUCAGAAUGCUACGGUGAAUACGUUCCCGGGCCUUGUACACACCGCCCGUCACACCAUGGGAGUGGGUUGCAAAAGAGUUUGUAGCUUAACCUCGGGAAGGCGCCUACACUUUGUGAUUCUGACUGGGUGAUCCCAAAG